UAAGUCAAAAGCUCAGUUGGCUGAAUGAACUCUAGUUCCGAAUGAUUAAAGGGGCAAGAAGGAGAAAGCAAUACAGCAGAUCCCUCGGGAAAAGUUACGGAGCAAGCAAUCUAAGUACUUCAUUUAUGAUAAAGAAAGAACAGCUCGAGUAUGAACGCAAAACAAAAAUUUCAUUAAAAGAAAAACACAUUACAGCAUGUCACAAAUACCAACACUACGGGAUAAAAGGCUAUCCUUAAAGGAUUUACAUGCCCAGAUACAUCAUCAUCUACGUUUACAUCACUAUCGCCUACCCCACUAUCCUAGCCUUCGAUUCAGACGAAUUCUCAUAGUUCGGAAGAUGAGCUUUGCAGGCCAGCUAAGCUUUGUCUCGUUAUUAUAGGGGAACUGAACAGGUCGACCCCCAUAAGCACCCAUCACUGUUCC
rnacentral:lncRNA from 1 species